rnacentral:rRNA from 1 species
CAAUAGCGUAUAUUAAAGUUGUUGCAGUUAAAAAGCUCGUAGUUGGAUUUCGGAGUGGGUCAGUUGGUCCGCCGCAAGGUGAGUUACUGGCUGGUCUGCUCUUCUUCGCAAAGACUGCGUAUCCUCUUUAUUGAGCGUGCGUAGGAUUUACGACGUUUACUUUGAAAAAAUAGAGUGUUCAAAGCAGGCUAUCGCUUGAAUACAUGAGCAUGGAAUAAUGGAAUAGGACUUUGGUCUUAUUUUAUUGGUUUCCGAGACCGAAGUAAUGAUUAAGAGGGACAAUUGGGGGCAUCCGUAUUUCGUUGUCAGAGGUGAAAUUCUUGGAUUUACGAAAGACGAACAACUGCGAAAGCACUUGCCAAGAGUGUUUUCAUUAA